rnacentral:rRNA from 1 species
UACGUAGGGUGCAAGCGUUAAUCGGAAUUACUGGGCGUAAAGCGUGCGCAGGCGGUUCUGAAAGUCAGCUGUGAAAGCCCCGGGCUUAACCUGGGAAUGGCGGUUGAAACUACAGGACUAGAAUCUGGCAGAGGGGGGUGGAAUUCCACGUGUAGCAGUGAAAUGCGUAGAUAUCAUGAGGAACACCAGAGGCGAAGGCGGCUACCUGGACAGUUACUGACGCUCAGGCACGAAAGCGUGGGGAGCAAAAGGG